rnacentral:lncRNA from 1 species
CCGUGGCCUAUUUUUGGCACACAGAGGCCGCCCGCGAAGUAUGGUGCCAUUCCGAGCCCCGCGGACGAACUUCGCCCACGCCCCCCACCAAGGCUAUAGCCCACGCGUUUCUUGGCCUUUUUUCCGCUGGGGGGUCUUGUGACCCCGACCUUCGGGGGCUGAUUUUUGGGCGCGGCUGUGCCCGUGGCCUAUUUUUGGCACACCGAGGCCGCCCGCCAAGUAUGGUGCCAUUCCGAGUCCCGCGGACGAACUUCGCCCACGCCCCCCACCAAGGCUAUAGCCCACCCGUUUUUUGGCCAUUUUUCCGCUGGGGGGUCUUGGGACCCCGACCUUCGGGGGCUGAUUUUUGGGCGCGGCUGUGCCCGUGGCCUAUUUUUGGCACACGGAGGCCGCCCGCCAAGUAUGGUGCCAUUCUGAGUCCCGCGGACGAACUUCGCCCACGCCCCCCACCAAGGCUAUAGCCCACCCGUUUUUUGGCCAUUUUUCCGCUGGGGGGUCUUGGGACCCCGACCUUCGGGGGCUGAUUUUUGGGCGCGGCUGUGCCCGUGGCCUAUUUUUGGUCUCGGAGGCCGCCCGCCAAGUCUGGGGCCAUUCCGAGUCCGGCGGACGAACUUCGCCCACGCCCCCCACAUAGGCUAUAGCCCACCCGUUUUUUGGCCAUUUUUCCGCUGGGGGGUCUUGGGACCCCGACCUUCGGGGGCUGAUUUUUGGGCACGGCUGUGCCCGUCGCCUAUUUUUGGCACACGGAGGCCGCCCGCCAAGUCUGGGGCCAUUCCGAGUCCCGCGGACAAACUUCGCCCACGCCCCCCACCAAGGCUAUAGCCCACCCUUUUUUUGGCCAUUUUUCCGCUGGGUGGUCUUGGGACCCCGACCUUCGGGGGCUGAUUUUUGGGCGCGGCUGUGCCCGUGGCCUAUUUUUGGCACACGAAGGCCGCCCGCCAAGUCUGGGGCCAUUCCGAGUCCCGCGGACGAACUUCGCCCACGCCCCCCACCAAGGCUAUAGCCCACCCUUUUUUUGGCCAUUUUUCCGCUGGGGGGUCUUGGGACCCCAACCUUCGGGGGCUGAUUUUUGGGCACGGCUGUGCCCGUGGCCUAUUUUUGGCACACGGAGGCAGCCCGCCAAGUAUGGUGCCAUUCCGAGUCCCGCGGACGAACUUCGCCCACUCCCCCCACCAAGGCUAUAGCCCACCCGUCUUUUGGCCAUUUUUCCGCUGGGGGGUCUUGGGACCCCGACCUUCGGGGGCUGAUUUUUGGGCGCGGCUGUGCCCGUGGCCUAUUUUUGGCAAACGGAGGCCGCCCGCCAAGUAUGGUGCCAUUCCGAGUACCGCGGACGAACUUCGCCUAUUUUUGGCACACGGAGGCCGCCCGCCAAGUAUGGUGCCAUUCCGAGUCCCGCGGACGAACUUCGCCCACUCCCCCCACCAAGGCUAUAGCCCACCCGUCUUUUGGCCAUUUUUCCUCUGGGGGGUCUUGGGACCCCGACCUUCGGGGGCUGAUUUUUGGGCGCGGCUGUGCCCGUGGCCUAUUUUUGGCACACGGAGGCUGUCCGCCAAGUCUGGGGCCAUUCCGAGUCCCGCGGACGAACUUCGCCCACGCCCCCCACCAAGGCUAUAGCCCACCCGUUUUUUGGCCAUUUUUCCGCUGGGGGGUUCUUGGGACUCCGACCUUCGGGGGCUGAUUUUUGGGCGCGGCUGUGCCCGUGGCCUAUUUUUGGCUCACGGAGGCCGCCCGCCAAGUAUGGUGCCAUUCCGAUUCCCGCGGACGAACUUCGCCCACUCCCCCCACCAAGGCUAUAGCCCACCCGUCUUUUGGCCAUUUUUCCGCUGGGGGGUCUUGGGUCCCCGACCUUCGGGGGCUGAUUUUUGGGCGCGGCUGUGCCCGUGGCCUAUUUUUGGCAAACGGAGGCCGCCCGCCAAGUAUGGUGCAAUUCCAAGUCCCGCGGACGAACUUUGCCCACUCCCCCCACCAAGGCUAUAGCCCACCCGUCUUUUGGCCAUUUUUCCACUGGGGGGUCUUGGGUCCCCGACCUUCGGGGGCUGAUUUUUGGGCGCGGCUGUGCCCGUGGCAUAUUUUUGGCAAACGGAGGCCGCCCGCCAAGUAUGGUGCCAUUCCGAGUCCCGCGGACGAACUUCGCCCACUCCCCCCACCAAGGCUAUAGCCCACCCGUCUUUUGGCCAUUUUUCCGCUGGGGGGUCUUGGGUCCCCGACCUUCGGGGCUGAUUUUUGGGCGCGGCUGUGCCCGUGGCCUAUUUUUGGCACACGGAGCCGCCCGCCAAGUAUGGUGCCAUUCCGAGUCCCGCGACGACUUCGCCCACUCCCCCCACCAAGGCUAUAGCCCACUCGUCUUUUGGCCAUUUUUCCGCUGGGGGGUCUUGGGUCCCCGACCUUCGGGGGCUGAUUUUUGGGCGCGGCUGUGCCCGUGGCCUAUUUUUGGCAAACGGAGGCCGCCCGCCANNNNNNNNNNNNNNNNNNNNNNNNNNNNNNNNNNNNNNNNNNNNNNNNNNNNNNNNNNNNNNNNNNNNNNNNNNNNNNNNNNNNNNNNNNNNNNNNNNNNNNNNNNNNNNNNNNNNNNNNNNNNNNNNNNNNNNNNNNNNNNNNNNNNNNNNNNNNNNNGGGGGGUCUUGGGACCCCGACCUUCGGGGGCUGAUUUUUGGGGCGCGGUUGUGCCCGUGGCUUAUUUUUGGCACACGGAGGCCGCCCGCCAAGUCUGGGGCCAUUCCGAGUCCCGCGGACGAACUUCGCCCACGCCCCCCACCAAGGCUAUAGCCCACCCGUUUUUUGGCCAUUUUUCCGCUGGGGGGUUCUUGGGACUCCGACCUUCGGGGGCUGAUUUUUGGGCGCGGCUGUGCCCGUGGCCUAUUUUUGGCACACGGAGGCCGCCCGCCAAGUCUGGGGCCAUUCCGAGUCCGGCGGACGAACUUCGCCCACGCCCCCCACAUAGGCUAUAGCCCACCCAUUUUUUGGCCAUUUUUCCGCUGGGGGGUCUUGGGACCCCGACCUUCGGGGGCUGAUUUUUGGGCGCGGCCGUGCCCGUGGUCUAUUUUUGGCACACGGAGGCCGCCCGCCAAGUAUGGUGCCAUUCCGAGUCCCGCGGACGAACUUCGCCCACUCCCGCCACCAAGGCUAUAGCCCACCCGUUUUUUGGCCAUUUUUCCGCUGGGGGGUCUUGGGACCCCGACCUUCGGGGGCUGAUUUUUGGGCGCGGCUGUGCCUGUGUGUCUAUUUUUGGCACACGGAGGCCGCCCGCCAAAUCUGGGGCCAUUCCGAGUCCCGCGGACGAACUUCGCCCACGCCCCCCACCAAGGCUAUAGCCCACCCGUUUUUUGGCCAUUUUUCCGCUGGGGGGUCUUGGGACUCCGACCUUCGGGGGCUGAUUUUUGGGCGCGGCUGUGCCCGUGGCCUAUUUUUGGCACACGGAGGCCGCCCGCCAAGUCUGGGGCCAUUCCAAGUCCGGCGGACGAACUUCGCCCACGCCCCCCACAUAGGAUAUAGCCCACCCGUUUUUUGGCCAUUUUUCCGCAGGGGGGUCUUGGGACCCCGACCUUCGGGGGCUGAUUUUUGGGCGCGGCUGUGCCCGUGGCCUAUUUUUGGCACACGGAGGCCGCCCGCCAAGUCUGGGGCCAUUCCGAGUCCGGCGGACGAACUUCGCCACGCCCCCCACCAAGGCUAUAGCCCACCCGUUUUUUGGCCAUUUUUCCGCUGGGGGGUCUUGGGACCCCGACCUUCGGGGGCUGAUUUUUGGGCGCGGCUGUGCCCGUGGCCUAUUUUUGCCACACGGUGGCCGCCCGCCAUGUCUGGAGCCAUUCUGAGUCCCGCGGACGAACUUCGCCCAUGCCGCCCACCAAGGCUAUAGCCCCCCCGUUUUUUGGCCAUUUUUCCGCUGGGGGGUCUUGGGACCCCGACCUUCGGGGGCUGAUUUUUGGGCGCGGCUGUGCCCGUGGCCCAUUUUUGGCAAACGGAGGCCGCCCGACCCCGACCUUCGGGGGCUGAUUUUUGGGCGCGGCUGUGCCCGUGGCCCAUUUUUGGCACAUGGAGGCCGCCCGCCAUGUCUGGGGCCAUUCCGAGUCCGGCGGACGAACUUCGCCCACGCCCCGCGCCAAGGCUAUAGCCCACCAGUUUUUUGGCCAUUUUUCCGCUGGGGGGUCUUGGGACCCUGACCUUCGGGGGCUGAUUUUUGGGCGCGGCUGUGCCCGUGGCCUAUUUUUGGCACACGGAGGCCGCCCGCCAAGUCUGGGGCCAUUCUGAGUCCCGCGGACGAACUUCGCCCACGCCCCUCACCAAGGCUAUAGCCCACCCUUUUUUUGGCCAUUUUUUCGCUGGGGGGUCUUGGGACCCCGACCUUCGGGGGCUGAUUUUUGUACGCGGCUGUGCCCGUGGUCUAUAUUUGUUCACGAUAGCCGCCCGCCAAGUUUGGGGACAUUCCNNNNNNNNNNNNNNNNNNNNNNNNNNNNNNNNNNNNNNNNNNNNNNNNNNNNNNNNNNNNNNNNNNNNNNNNNNNNNNNNNNNNNNNNNNNNNNNNNNNNCGGCGGACGAACUUCGCCCACGCCCCCCACCAAGGCUAUAGCCCACCCGUUUUUUUACCAUUUUUCCGCUGGGGGACUUGGGACCCCGACCUUCGGGGGCUGAUUUUUGGGGGCGGCUGUGCCCGUGGCCUAUUUUUGGCACAGGGAGGCCGCCCGCCAAGUCUGGGGCCAUUCCGAGUCCUGCGGACGAACUUCGCCCACGACCCCCACCAAGGCUAUAGCCCACACAUUUUUUGGCCAUUUUUCCGCUGGGGGGUCUUGGGACCCCGACCUUCGGGGGCUGAUUUUUGGGCGCGGCUGUGCCCGUGGACUAUUUUUGGAACACGGGGGCCGCCCGCCAAGUCUGGGGCCAUUCUGAGUCCCGCGGACGAACUUCGCCCACGCCCCCCACCAAGGCUAUAGCCCACCCGUUUUUUGGCCAUUUUUCCGCUGGGGGGUCUUGGGACCCCGACCUUCGGGGGCUGAUUUUUGGGCGCGGCUGUGCCCGUGGCCUAUUUUUGGCACACGGAGGCCGCCCGCCAAGUCUGGGGCCAUUCCGAGUCCCGCGGACGAACUUCGCCCACGCCCCCCACCAAGGCUAUAGCCCACCCGUUUUUUGGCCAUUGUUCCGCUGCGGGGUCUUUGGACCCCGACCUUCGGGGGCUGAUUUUUGGGCGCGGCUAUGCCCGUGGCCUAUUUUUGGCACACGGUGGCCGCCCGCCAAGUCUGGGGCCAUUCCGAGUCCGGCGGACGAACUUCGCCCACGCCCCCAACCAAGGCUAUAGCCCACCCGUUUUUUGGCCAAUUUUCCGCUGGGGGGUCUUGGGACCCUGACCUUCGGGGGCUGAUUUUUGGGCGCGGCUUUGCCCGUGGCCUAUUUUUGGCACAGGGAGGCCGCCCGCGAAGUCUGGGGCCAUUCCGAGUCCGGCGGACAAACUUCGCCCACGCCCCCCACCAAGGCUAUAGCCCACCCAUUUUUUGGCCAUUUUUCCGCUGGGGGGUCUUGGGACCCCGACCUUCGGUGGCUGAUUUUGGGCGCGGCUGUGCCCGUGGCCUAUUUUUGGCACACGGAGGCCGCCCUCCAAGUCUGUGCCAUUCCGAGUCCCGCGGACGAACUUCGCCCACGACCCCCACCAAGGCUAUAGCCCACCCGUUUUUUGGCCAUUUUUCCGCUGGGGGGUCUUGGGACCCCGACCUUCGGGGGCUGAUUUUUGGGCGCGGCUGUGCCCGUGGCCUAUUUUUGGCACAGGGAGGCCGCCCGCCAAGUCUGGGGCCAUUCCUAGUCCGGACGACGAAUUUCGCCCGCGCCCCCCACAUAGGCUAUAGGCCAUCCGUUUUUUGGCCAUUUUUCCGCUGGGGGGUCUUGGGACCCCGACCUUCGGGGGCUGAUUUGUGGCGCGGCUGUGCCCGUGGCCUAUUUUUUGCACACGGAGGCCGCCCACCAAGUCUGGUGCCAUUCCGAGUCCGGCCGACGAACUUCGCCCACGCCCCCCACCAAGGCUAUAGCCCACCUGUUUUUUGGCCAUUUUUCCACUGGGGGGUCUUGGGGCCCCGACCUUCGGGGGCUGAUUUUUGGGCGCGGCUGUGCCCGUGGCCUAUUUUUGGCACACGGAGGCCGCCCGCCAAGUCUGGGGCCAUUCCUAGUCCGGACGACGAACUUCGCCCGCGCCCCCCACAUAGGCUAUAGCCCACCCGUUUUUUGGCCAUUUUUCCGCUGGGGGGUCUUGGGACCCCGACCUUCGGGGGCUGAUUUUUGGGCGCGGCUGUGCCCGUGGCCUAUUUUUGGCACACGGAGGCCGCCCGCCAAGUCUGGGGCCAUUCCGAGUCCCGCGGACGAACUUCGCCCACGCCCCCCACCAAGGCUAUAGCCCACCCGUUUUUUAGCCAUUUUUCCGCUGGGGGGUCUUGGGGCCCCGACCUUCGGGGGCUGAUUUUGGGCGCGGCUGUGCCCGUGGCCUAUUUUUGGCACACGGAGGCCGCCCGCCAAGUCUGGUGCCAUUCUGAGUCCCGCGGCCGAACUUCGCCCACGCCCCCCACCAAGGCUAUAGCCCACCCGUUUAUUGGCCAUUUUUCCGCCGGGGGGUCUUGGGACCCCGACCUCCGGGGGCUGAUCUUUGGGCGCGGCUGUGCCCGUGGCCUAUUUUUUGCACACGGAGGCCGCCCGCCAAGUCUGGUGCCAUUCCGAGUCCCGCGGACGAACUUCGCCCACGCCCCCCACCAAGGCUAUAGCCCACCCGUUUUUUGGCCAUUUUUCCGCUGGGGGGUCUUGGGACCCCGACCUUCGGGGGCUGAUUUUUGGGCGCGGCUGUGCCCGUGGCCUAUUUUUGGCACACGGAGGCCGCCCGCCAAGUCUGGGGCCAUUCCAAGUCCCGCGGACCAACUUCGCCCACGCCCCCCACCCAGGCUAUAGCCCACCCGUUUUUUGGCCAUUUUUCCGCUGGGGGGUCUUGGGACCCCGACCUUCGGGGGCUGAUUUUUGGGCGCGGCUGUGCCCGUGGCCUAUUUUUGGCACACGGAGGCCGCCCGCCAAGUCUGGGGCCAUUCCGAGUCCCGCGGACGAACUUCGCCCACGCCCCCCACCAAGGCUAUAGCCCACCCUUUUUUUGGCCAUUUUUCCGCUGGUGGGUCUUGGAACCCCGACCUUCGGGGGCUGAUUUUUGGGCGCGGCUGUGCCCGUGGCCUAAUUUUGGCACACGUAGGCCGCCCGCCAAGUCUGGUGCCAUUCCGAGUCCCGCGGACGAACUUCGCCCACGCCCCCCACCAAGGCUAUAGCCCACCCGUUUUUUGGCCAUUUUUCCGCUGGGGGGUCUUGGGGCCCCGACCUUCGGGGGCUGAUUUGUGGCGCGGCUGUGCCCGUGGCCUAUUUUUGGCACACGGAGGCCGCCCGCGAAGUCUGGUGCCAUUCCGAGUCCGGCCGACGAACUUCGCCCACGCCCCCCACCAAGGCUAUAGCCCACCCGUUUUUUGGCCAAUUUUCCGCUGGGGGGUCUUGGGACCCCGACCUUCGGGGGCUGAUUAUUGGGCGCGGCUGUGCCCAUGGCCUAUUUGUGGCACAGGGAGGCCGCCUGCCAAGUCUGGGGCCAUUCCGAGUCCCGCGGACGAACUUCGCCCACGACCCCCACCAAGGCUAUAGCCCACCCGUUUUUUGGCCAUUUUUCCGCUGGGGGGUCUUGGAACCCCGACCUUCGGGGGCUGAUUUUNNNNNNNNNNNNNNNNNNNNNNNNNNNNNNNNNNNNNNNNNNNNNNNNNNNNNNNNNNNNNNNNNNNNNNNNNNNNNNNNNNNNNNNNNNNNNNNNNNNNCGCCCCCCACAUAGGCUAUAGCCCACCCGUUUUUUGGCCAUUUUUCCCCUGGGGGGUCUUGGGACCCCGACCUUCGGGGGCUGAUUUUUGGGCGCGGCUGUGCCCGUGGCCUAUUUUUGGCACACGGAGGCCGCCCGCCAAGUCUGGGGCCAUUCCGAGUCCGGCGGAGGAACUUCGCCCACGCCCCCCACCAAGGCUAUAGCCCACCCGUUUUUUAGCCAUUUUUCCGCUGGGGGGUCUUGGGGCCCCGACUUUGGGGGGUUGAUUUUGGGCGCGGCUGUGCCCGUGGCCUAUUUUUGGCACGCGGAGGCCGCCCGCCAAGUCUGGUGCCAUUCUGAGUCCCGCGGACGAACUUCGCCCACGCCCCCCACCAAGGCUAUAGCCCACCCGUUUAUUGGCCAUUUUUCCGCCGGGGGGUCUUGGGACCCCGACCUCCGGGGGCUGAUUUUUGGGCGCAGCUGUGCCCGUGGCCUAUUUUUUGCACACGGAGGCCGCCCGCCAAGUCUGGUGCCAUUCCGAGUCCCGCGGACGAACUUCGCCCACGCCCCCCACCAAGGCUAUAGCCCACCCGUUUUUUGGCCAUUUUUCCGCUGGGGGGUCUUGGGACCCCGACCUUCGGGGGCUGAUUUUUGGGAGCGGCUGUACCCGUGGCCUAUUUUUGGCACACGGAGGCCGCCCGCCAAGUCUGGGGCCAUUCCAAGUCCGGCGGACGAACUUCGCCCACGCCCCCCACAUAGGCUAUAGCCCACCCGUUUUUUGGCCAUUUUUCCGCUGGGGGGUCUUGGGACCCCGACCUUCGGGGGCUGAUUUUUGGGCACGGCUGUGCCCGUCGCCUAUUUUUGGCACACGGAGGCCGCCCGCCAAGUCUGGGGCCAUUCCGAGUCCCGCGGACAAACUUCGCCCACGCCCCCCACCAAGGCUAUAGCCCACCCUUUUUUUGGCCAUUUUUCCGCUGGUGGGUCUUGGAACCCCGACCUUCGGGGGCUGAUUUUUGGGCGCGGCUGUGCCCGUGGCCUAAUUUUGGCACACGUAGGCCGCCCGCCAAGUCUGGUGCCAUUCCGAGUCCCGCGGACGAACUUCGCCCACGCCCCCCACCAAGGCUAUAGCCCACCCGUUUUUUGGCCAUUUUUCCGCUGGGGGGUCUUGGGGCCCCGACCUUCGGGGGCUGAUUUGUGGCGCGGCUGUGCCCGUGGCCUAUUUUUGGCACAGGGAGGCCGCCCGCCAAGUCUGGGGCCAUUCCUAGUCCGGACGACGAAUUUCGCCCGCGCCCCCCACAUAGGCUAUAGGCCAUCCGUUUUUUGGCCAUUUAUCCGCUGGGGGGUCUUGGGACCCCGACCUUCGGGGGCUGAUUUUUGCGCGCGGCUGUGCCCGUGGCCUAUUUUUAGCACACGGAGGCCGCCCGCCAAGUCUGGCGCCAUUGCGAGUCCCGCGGACGAAUUUCGCCCACGCCCCCUACCAAGGCUAUAGCCCACCCGUUUUUUGGCCAUUUUUCCGCUGAGGGGUCUUGGGACCCCGACCUUCGGGGUCUGAUUUUUGGGCGCGGCUGUGCCCGUGGCCUAUUUUUGGCACACGGAGGCCGCCGCCAAGUCUGGUGCCAUUCCGAGUCCGGCCGACGAACUUCGCCCACGCCCCCAACCAAGGCUAUAGCCCACCCAUUUGUUGGCCGUUUUUCCGCUGGGGGGUCUUGGGGCCUCGACUUUCGGGGGCUGAUUUUUGGGCGCGGCUGUGCCCGUGGCCUAUUUUUGGCACAUGGAGGCCGCCCGCCAAGUCUGGGGCCAUUCCGAGUCCGGCGGACGAACUUCGCCCACGCCCCCC